rnacentral:rRNA from 1 species
GACGAACGCUGGCGGCGUGCCUAAUACAUGCAAGUUGAGCGCUGAAGGUUGGUACUUGUACCAACUGGAUGAGCAGCGCACGGGUGAGUAACGCGUGGGGAAUCUGCCUUUGAGCGGGGGACAACAUUUGGAAACGAAUGCUAAUACCGCAUAAAAACUUUAAACACAAGUUUUAAGUUUGAAAGAUGCAAUUGCAUCACUCAAAGAUGAUCCCGCGUUGUAUUAGCUAGUUGGUGAGGUAAAGGCUCACCAAGGCGAUGAUACAUAGCCGACCUGAGAGGGUGAUCGGCCACAUUGGGACUGAGACACGGCCCAAACGCCUAAGGGAGGCAGCAGUAGGGAAUCUUCGGCAAUGGACGAAAGUCUGACCGAGCAACGCCGAGUGAGUGAAGAAGGGUUUCGGAUCGUAAAAAUCUGUUGGUAGAGAAGAACGUUGGUGAGAGUGGAAAGCUCAUCAAGUGACGGUAACUACCCAGAAAGGGACGGCUAACUACGUG